CACCGGCGGCUCGAGUGGUGGCCCCUUUUAUUGGGUCUAAAGCGUCCGUAGCCGGCUUGGCAAGUCCCCUGGGAAAUCUGGCGGCUUAACCGUCAGGCGUCCAGAGGAUACUGCCAGGCUUGGGACCGGGAGAGGUGAGAGGUACCUCAGGGGUAGGGGUGAAAUCGUGUGAUCCCUGAGGGACCACCAGUGGCGAAGGCGUCUCACUAGAACGGGUCCGACGGUCAGGGACGAAAGCUGGGGGCACGAACCGG
rnacentral:rRNA from 1 species